UACGGAGGGGGCUAGCGUUGUUCGGAAUUACUGGGCGUAAAGCGUACGUAGGCGGCUUUAUAAGUUAGAGGUGAAAGCCCGGGGCUCAACCCCGGAAUUGCCUUUAAGACUGCAUCGCUUGAAUCGCGGAGAGGUGAGUGGAAUUCCGAGUGUAGAGGUGAAAUUCGUAGAUAUUCGGAAGAACACCAGUGGCGAAGGCGGCUCACUGGACGCGUAUUGACGCUGAGGUACGAAAGCGUGGGGAGCAAACAGG
rnacentral:rRNA from 1 species